GUGUUACAGUAAGGUUUAGGGUUAGAGUUAGGUUAGGUUUAGAGUUAGGGCUAGAGUAUGGUGAUAGUGCUUUAGGCUUAGGUUUAGGGUGGAAUUUAGGUUAAGGAUGAGGGUUAGGGUUGGGGUAGGUGUUUGGAUUAAUGUUAGGGUCAGGUUUAGGGUUUUGGUUUAGAGUUCAGGUUAGAUUCAGGGUUAGGGUUAGAUUUAGGUUUAGGGUUAGGUUUAGUGUUAGUUUAGCUUAGGGUUAGGGUUUGAAUGAAGUUAGGGUAGGUUUAGGGUUAUGGUUAGGUUGAAAUUUUGGUUAAGUGUGAGGGUUUGGUUUCGGGUUAGGGUUAGAGUUAGGGUUAGUGGUUAAGGUUAGGUUUAGGGUUAAGGUUAGGUUUAGGCUAAGCAUUAGGGUUAGAGUUAGGGUUAGCGGUUAGUGUUUCAGUUAGGUUUAGGAUAGGGUUAUAAUUAGGGUUAAGUUUAGGGUUACGGUAAGAGUUAGAUUUACGUUUACAGUUAAGGUGAGGGUUUAGGGUAAGUGUUAUAGUUAGGGUUCGAGUUCGAGUUUGGGUUAGGUUUAGGGUGAAGUUUCAGUUAAUAGUCAGGGUCAGGGUAAGGGUUAGGGUUAAGAUUACAGUUAGGGUUAAGUUUAGUGUUAGGGUUAGGGUUAGGGUAGGGGUAAGGUUAGGGUUAAGGCUAGGUUUACGGUAAAGGGUAGGGCUAGGUUAGGGUUAGGUUUAGAGUUAGAGCUAGUACUAGGGUUUAGGGUAAGAGGUAGGGUCAGGUUUAGAGUUUUUGUUAGUUUUAGGGUGGAGUUAAGGUUAAGUUUAGCGUUAGGGUAAGUGUUAGGUUUAGGUCAGGGUUAAGGUUAGGAUUAGGGAUAGGGUUAGGGUUAGGGAAAGGGUUAGGUGUUCGUGGGAGGGUUAGUGUUAGGUUUACACUUAAGCUGAUGUUUUACAGUGUUACGGUUAGGUCAGGGUUGUAGUUAGGGUUAGGAUGAGGUUUAGGUUUAGGGCUAUAUUUAGGGGAUAGUUUAGGGUUAGGUUUAGUUUUAGGGUUAAGGUUAGGCUUAGGUUUAUCUUGAAAUUUAUGUUAAGGAUGAGGGUUAGGGUUAGCGUUAGGGUUAGGUGUUUGGGUUAAGGUUAGGGUUAGGUUUAGGGUUUGGGUUAGGGUUAGGUGUUUCGGUUAAUGUUAGGGUCAGGUUUAGGGUAAGGGUUAGGGUUCGGUUUAGGAUCAGGCUUAGGGUUAGGGUUAGAAUUAGGGUUAGUGGUUAGGGUUAGGCUUAGGGUUAAGGUUAGGUUUAGGCUAAAGAUCAGGAUUUGAUUUCGAGUUAGGUGUUAGUGUUUCGGUUAGGUUUAGGGUAGGGUUAUAUUUAGGGUUAGGUUAAGAGUUAGACUUAUGUUUACAGUUAAGGUGAGGGUUUUGGGUAAGUGUUACAUUUAGGGUUAGGGUUAGGUUUAGGGCUAGGGCUAGGGUUAGGUUUAGAUUUCGGGUUACCGGUUAGGGUUAGGUUUAAGUUUAUGGUAGGGUAAAGUUAGGGUUAGGGUUUGGUUAGGGUUAGGGUCAGAGUUAGGAUUAGGAUUAGGUUUAGGGUGAGGGUUAGGGUCAGAGUUAUUGUAAGGGUUAGGUUUGGGGUUACAGGUGGGCCAAGGUUAAGGUUAGGGUCAGGGUUAAAGUUAGGGUGUGCUUUAGAUUAGGGAUAGGGUGAAGUUUAAGAUAGGGUGAGGGUUAGGGUUAUGGCUAAGGUUUGCUUGAGUUUACAGGUUAGUGUUAAGGUUAUGUUUAGGGUUAGGAAUAAGUUUACGGGUUGUGUUUACUUUUAGGGUUAGGGGUAGAUUUUAGGUUAGGGUUAAGUUCAGUGUUACGGUUAGGGUUAGGUUUACGGUUUGUGUUAGGCAUUGUGGUUGGUGUGAGGAUUAGGUUUAGGAUUAGGGUUGGGUAGGGUUAGGAUUAUGGUUAUGGUAAGGUGUUAGGGAUUAGAGGAGUAGUUUUGGGUUAGGGCUUGGGUGAGGCUUCCGGUUAGGCAUUGUGGUUCUGGUCAUGGUUAGGUUUGGUUUAGGGUUAGGGUUAGUUUUAUGAUUAGGUUUAGGGUUAGUGUUAGAGUUAGGGUUAGGCUUUGGUGCUAGGGGUUAGGUUUUGGGUUAGGGUUAGGGUUAUCGUUAGGGCUUAGGUUUUCAGGUGAGUGUUAGGGUUAGGGUUAGGGAUAGCAUUAGGGUUAGCUUUUGGGGGUACGGUUAGGGGUUAGGUGAGGGUUACAGUUAGUAUUGCAGUUAAGGUUAGGUUUUAGGGCAAGUGUUAGGAUUAGGGUUAGAGUUAGAGUUAGGGUUAGGUUUAGGGUUAGGUGCAGGGUAAGUUUUAGGUUUAAGUCCUGGUUUAGUGUUAGAGUUAGUGUUCUAUUUAGGGUCAAGUUUAGAGUUCGGGUUAGGUUUAGGAUUAGGUCUAUUGUUGGGCUUAGGAUUAGGGUUAGGUUCAGAGCUAUUGUAAGGCUUAGGUUUAGGGUUACAGAUGGACUAGCUUUACGGUUAGAGUUAGGUUUAAGGUUAGGGUUUGGGCUAGGUUUACGUUUACGGUUAUGGUUAGGGUUAGGAUUUGGUUGAAGUUUAGCAUAGGCUGAGGGUUACUUUUAGGGUUCGGGCUAGAGUUUGGGUUUGUGUUCAGGUUAGUGUUAUGGUUAGAUUUAGGGUCCAGUUUAGGGUUAGGGGUUAGGUUUAGUGUUAGGGUUAGUUUUAGGUUUAGGGUUAGUGUGAACUUCAGGUUAAGGGUGAGAGUUAGGGUUAGGGUUAGGAUUAGGGUUAGUGUUAGACGUUAGGUUUAGGGUGCUAAUUUUAGGUUUAUGGUUAGGGCAGGUUUAAGUUUAGGGUUAAUGUUAGGGUUAGUGUUAGAUUAGGGUUACUGUUCGUGUUAGGGUUACAGUUAGGGUUAGGGAUAGCAUUAGGUUUAGGGUUAGGAAUAUAGUUAGGGGUUAGGGUGAGGGUUGGGGAUAUGGUGAGGGUUAGGUUUAGGUUUACAGUUAAGGUGAGGGUUUAGGGUAAUUGUUAUGGUUAGGGUUAGAGUUAGGGUCAUGGUGAAGUUUCAGUUAAUAGUGGGGUUCAGGGUUAAUGUUAGAUUUAGGGUUAAGGUUAGUGUUAGGGUUAGGUUUAGGUUAGGGUUAAGGUAGCGGUCGGGUUAGGGUUAAGACUAGGUUUACGGUAAAGUGUAAGGCUAGGUUAGGGUUAGGUUUAGAGUUAGUGCUAGGGUUUAGGGUUAGGGUUAAGGUCAGGUUUAGAGUUAUUGUUAGGUUUACGGUUAAGGUUAGGGUAGAGUUAAGGUUAAGGUUAAGUUUAAGAUUAGGGUAAGAGUUAGGUUAACGUCAGGUUUAGGGUUAGGAUGAGGGAUAGGGUUAGGGUUAGAGAAAGGGUUAGGGUUAGGGUUUCGUGUGAGGAUUAGUGUUAUGUUUACAUUAAGCUGAUGUUUUUGGGUGUUACAGUAAGGUUUAGGGUUAGAGUUAGGUUAGGUUUAGAGUUAGGGCUAGAGUAUGGUGAUAGUGCUUUAGGCUUAGGUUUAGGGUGGAAUUUAGGUUAAGGAUGAGGGUUAGGGUUGGGGUAGGUGUUUGGAUUAAUGUUAGGGUCAGGUUUAGGGUUUUGGUUUAGAGUUCAGGUUAGAUUCAGGGUUAGGGUUAGAUUUAGGUUUAGGGUUAGGUUUAGUGUUAGUUUAGCUUAGGGUUAGGGUUUGAAUGAAGUUAGGGUAGGUUUAGGGUUAUGGUUAGGUUGAAAUUUUGGUUAAGUGUGAGGGUUUGGUUUCGGGUUAGGGUUAGAGUUAGGGUUAGUGGUUAAGGUUAGGUUUAGGGUUAAGGUUAGGUUUAGGCUAAGCAUUAGGGUUAGAGUUAGGGUUAGCGGUUAGUGUUUCAGUUAGGUUUAGGAUAGGGUUAUAAUUAGGGUUAAGUUUAGGGUUACGGUAAGAGUUAGAUUUACGUUUACAGUUAAGGUGAGGGUUUAGGGUAAGUGUUAUAGUUAGGGUUCGAGUUCGAGUUUGGGUUAGGUUUAGGGUGAAGUUUCAGUUAAUAGUCAGGGUCAGGGUAAGGGUUAGGGUUAAGAUUACAGUUAGGGUUAAGUUUAGUGUUAGGGUUAGGGUUAGGGUAGGGGUAAGGUUAGGGUUAAGGCUAGGUUUACGGUAAAGGGUAGGGCUAGGUUAGGGUUAGGUUUAGAGUUAGAGCUAGUACUAGGGUUUAGGGUAAGAGGUAGGGUCAGGUUUAGAGUUUUUGUUAGUUUUAGGGUGGAGUUAAGGUUAAGUUUAGCGUUAGGGUAAGUGUUAGGUUUAGGUCAGGGUUAAGGUUAGGAUUAGGGAUAGGGUUAGGGUUAGGGAAAGGGUUAGGUGUUCGUGGGAGGGUUAGUGUUAGGUUUACACUUAAGCUGAUGUUUUACAGUGUUACGGUUAGGUCAGGGUUGUAGUUAGGGUUAGGAUGAGGUUUAGGUUUAGGGCUAUAUUUAGGGGAUAGUUUAGGGUUAGGUUUAGUUUUAGGGUUAAGGUUAGGCUUAGGUUUAUCUUGAAAUUUAUGUUAAGGAUGAGGGUUAGGGUUAGCGUUAGGGUUAGGUGUUUGGGUUAAGGUUAGGGUUAGGUUUAGGGUUUGGGUUAGGGUUAGGUGUUUCGGUUAAUGUUAGGGUCAGGUUUAGGGUAAGGGUUAGGGUUCGGUUUAGGAUCAGGCUUAGGGUUAGGGUUAGAAUUAGGGUUAGUGGUUAGGGUUAGGCUUAGGGUUAAGGUUAGGUUUAGGCUAAAGAUCAGGAUUUGAUUUCGAGUUAGGUGUUAGUGUUUCGGUUAGGUUUAGGGUAGGGUUAUAUUUAGGGUUAGGUUAAGAGUUAGACUUAUGUUUACAGUUAAGGUGAGGGUUUUGGGUAAGUGUUACAUUUAGGGUUAGGGUUAGGUUUAGGGCUAGGGCUAGGGUUAGGUUUAGAUUUCGGGUUACCGGUUAGGGUUAGGUUUAAGUUUAUGGUAGGGUAAAGUUAGGGUUAGGGUUUGGUUAGGGUUAGGGUCAGGGUUAGGAUUAGGAUUAGGUUUAGGGUGAGGGUUAGGGUCAGAGUUAUUGUAAGGGUUAGGUUUGGGGUUACAGGUGGGCCAAGGUUAAGGUUAGGGUCAGGGUUAAAGUUAGGGUGUGCUUUAGAUUAGGGAUAGGGUGAAGUUUAAGAUAGGGUGAGGGUUAGGGUUAUGGCUAAGGUUUGCUUGAGUUUACAGGUUAGUGUUAAGGUUAUGUUUAGGGUUAGGAAUAAGUUUACGGGUUGUGUUUACUUUUAGGGUUAGGGGUAGAUUUUAGGUUAGGGUUAAGUUCAGUGUUACGGUUAGGGUUAGGUUUACGGUUUGUGUUAGGCAUUGUGGUUGGUGUGAGGAUUAGGUUUAGGAUUAGGGUUGGGUAGGGUUAGGAUUAUGGUUAUGGUAAGGUGUUAGGGAUUAGAGGAGUAGUUUUGGGUUAGGGCUUGGGUGAGGCUUCCGGUUAGGCAUUGUGGUUCUGGUCAUGGUUAGGUUUGGUUUAGGGUUAGGGUUAGUUUUAUGAUUAGGUUUAGGGUUAGUGUUAGAGUUCGGGUUAGGCUUUGGUGCGAGGGGUUAGGUUUUGGGGUAGGGUUAGGGUUAUCGUUAGGGCUUAGGUUUUCAGGUGAGUGUUAGGGUUAGGGUUAGGGAUAGCAUUAGGGUUAGCUUUUGGGGGUACGGUUAGGGGUUAGGUGAGGGUUACAGUUAGUAUUGCAGUUAAGGUUAGGUUUUAGGGCAAGUGUUAGGAUUAGGGUUAGAGUUAGAGUUAGGGUUAGGUUUAGGGUUAGGUGCAGGGUAAGUUUUAGGUUUAAGUCCUGGUUUAGUGUUAGAGUUAGUGUUCUAUUUAGGGUCAAGUUUAGAGUUCGGGUUAGGUUUAGGAUUAGGUCUAUUGUUGGGCUUAGGAUUAGGGUUAGGUUCAGAGCUAUUGUAAGGCUUAGGUUUAGGGUUACAGAUGGACUAGCUUUACGGUUAGAGUUAGGUUUAAGGUUAGGGUUUGGGCUAGGUUUACGUUUACGGUUAUGGUUAGGGUUAGGAUUUGGUUGAAGUUUAGCAUAGGCUGAGGGUUACUUUUAGGGUUCGGGCUAGAGUUUGGGUUUGUGUUCAGGUUAGUGUUAUGGUUAGAUUUAGGGUCCAGUUUAGGGUUAGGGGUUAGGUUUAGUGUUAGGGUUAGUUUUAGGUUUAGGGUUAGUGUGAACUUCAGGUUAAGGGUGAGAGUUAGGGUUAGGGUUAGGAUUAGGGUUAGUGUUAGACGUUAGGUUUAGGGUGCUAAUUUUAGGUUUAUGGUUAGGGCAGGUUUAAGUUUAGGGUUAAUGUUAGGGUUAGUGUUAGAUUAGGGUUACUGUUCGUGUUAGGGUUACAGUUAGGGUUAGGGAUAGCAUUAGGUUUAGGGUUAGGAAUAUAGUUAGGGGUUAGGGUGAGGGUUGGGGAUAUGGUGAGGGUUAGGUUUAGGUUUACAGUUAAGGUGAGGGUUUAGGGUAAUUGUUAUGGUUAGGGUUAGAGUUAGGGUCAUGGUGAAGUUUCAGUUAAUAGUGGGGUUCAGGGUUAAUGUUAGAUUUAGGGUUAAGGUUAGUGUUAGGGUUAGGUUUAGGUUAGGGUUAAGGUAGCGGUCGGGUUAGGGUUAAGACUAGGUUUACGGUAAAGUGUAAGGCUAGGUUAGGGUUAGGUUUAGAGUUAGUGCUAGGGUUUAGGGUUAGGGUUAAGGUCAGGUUUAGAGUUAUUGUUAGGUUUACGGUUAAGGUUAGGGUAGAGUUAAGGUUAAGGUUAAGUUUAAGAUUAGGGUAAGAGUUAGGUUAACGUCAGGUUUAGGGUUAGGAUGAGGGAUAGGGUUAGGGUUAGAGAAAGGGUUAGGGUUAGGGUUUCGUGUGAGGAUUAGUGUUAUGUUUACAUUAAGCUGAUGUUUUUGGGUGUUACAGUAAGGUUUAGGGUUAGAGUUAGGUUAGGUUUAGAGUUAGGGCUAGAGUAUGGUGAUAGUGCUUUAGGCUUAGGUUUAGGGUGGAAUUUAGGUUAAGGAUGAGGGUUAGGGUUGGGGUAGGUGUUUGGAUUAAUGUUAGGGUCAGGUUUAGGGUUUUGGUUUAGAGUUCAGGUUAGAUUCAGGGUUAGGGUUAGAUUUAGGUUUAGGGUUAGGUUUAGUGUUAGUUUAGCUUAGGGUUAGGGUUUGAAUGAAGUUAGGGUAGGUUUAGGGUUAUGGUUAGGUUGAAAUUUUGGUUAAGUGUGAGGGUUUGGUUUCGGGUUAGGGUUAGAGUUAGGGUUAGUGGUUAAGGUUAGGUUUAGGGUUAAGGUUAGGUUUAGGCUAAGCAUUAGGGUUAGAGUUAGGGUUAGCGGUUAGUGUUUCAGUUAGGUUUAGGAUAGGGUUAUAAUUAGGGUUAAGUUUAGGGUUACGGUAAGAGUUAGAUUUACGUUUACAGUUAAGGUGAGGGUUUUGCGUAACUGUUACGGUUAGGGUUAGGACUAGGUUUAGGGUGAGAGUUGGGUUAGGGGUUAGGUUUAGGUUAAGUUUAUGGUAGGCUUAAAGUUAGGGUUAAGGUUAGGUUAGGGUUAGGGUCAGGGUUAGGAUUAGAAUUAGGUUUCGGGCGAGGGUUAGUGUCAGAGUUAUUAUAAGGGUUAGGUUUAGGGUUACAGAUGGGCCAAGGUUAAGGUUAGGGUUAGGUUUAGGGGUAGGAUUAGGGUUAAAGUUAGGGUUAGCUUUAGGUUAGGGAUAGGGUGAAGUAAAGUAGGGUGAGGGUUAGGGUUAUGGCUAAGGUUUGGGUUCGUUUUCAGGUUAGUGUUAAGUUUAUGUUUAGGGUUAGGGUUAAGUUUAUGGGUUCUGUUUAGUUUUAGGGUUAGGGUUAGAUUUUAGGUUAGGGUUAAGUUAAGUGUAACAGUUAGGGUUACGAUUUGUGUUAGGCAUUGUGGUUGGGGUGAGUGUUAGGUUUAUGGUUAGGGUUGGGUAGAGUUAGGAUUAUGGUUAUGGUAAGGUGUUAGGGUUUAGAGGUGUAGUUUAGGGUUAGGGUUUGGGUGAGGGUUUCGGUUAGGCAUUGUGGUUCUGGUCAUGGUUAAGUUUGGUUCAGUGUUAGGGUUAGGUUUAUGAUUAGGUUUCGGGUUAGUGUUAGAGUUAGGGUGAGGGAUAGUGUUAAGGUUUAGGUUAGGUUUUGGUGUUAUGGGUUAGGGUUUGCGUUAGGGUUAGUGUUAUCUUUAUGGCUUAGGGGUUUCAGGUUAGUGUUGUGGUUAGGGCUAGGGUUAGCAUUAGGGUUAGGGUUGUGGGCUACGGUUAGGGGUUAGAGUGAAGGUUACGGUUAGUUUUACAGUUAAGGUGAGGGUUUAGGGUAAGUGUUCUGAUUAGGGUUAGAGUUCGAGUUAGGGUUAGGUUUAGGGUUAGGGUUAGGUGUAGGGUAAUAUUUAGGUUUACGUCCAAGUUUAGGGUUAGAGUUAGUGUUGUAUUUAGGGUCAGAGCUAGUGUUCUAUUUAGGGUCAAGUUUAGAGUUAGGGUUAGGUUCAGGAUUAGGAUUAUGUUUAGGGUUAGGGUUAGGUUCAGGGCUAUCGUAAGGGUUAGGUUUAGGUUUUCAGAUGGACUAGUGUUAUGGUUAGAGUUAGGUUUAAG